rnacentral:rRNA from 1 species
UACGGAGGGUGCUAACGUUAUCCGGAAUCACUGGGCGUAAAGCGCGUGUAGGUGGUUUGGUAAGUCCGCGAUUAAAGUCCGCCGCUCAACGGCGGGACUGUUGCGGAUACUGCCAGACUUGAGGAGAGCAGGGGCAAGCGGAACUUUGGGUGUAGGGGUGAAAUCCGUAGAUAUCCAAAGGAACACCAAUGGCGAAGGCAGCUUGCUGGGCUCUAUCUGACACUGAGACGCGAAAGCGUGGGGAGCGAACGGG